AGAGGGAAUGGGACGGAUAGGUGGAGCAGUGUGAUGCGCAGAUAGCGAGAGGAACAUCAAUGGCGAAUGCAAGUUACUGGAGAUUUACUGACGCGCAGACACGGAGGAUAGGGGAGCGGAAGGGAUUAGAGACCCCUGUAGUCCUAGCAGUAAACGGUGCUCGCUUGGUGUGGGAGGGUUCGACCCCUUCUGUGCCGGAGCUAACGCGUUAAGCGAGCCGCCUGGGAAGUACGGUCGCAAGACUAAAACUCAAAGAAAUUGACGGGGACCCGCACAAGCGGUGGAGUAUGUGGCUUAAUUCGAUGCAACGCGAAGAACCUUACCUAGGCUUGACAUGCUUGUCGUACUCUCCCGAAAAGGAGAGGUCACUUCGGGUGGACAAUGCACAGGUGCUGCAUGGCCGUCGUCAGCUCGUGUCGUGAGAUGUUUGGUUAAGUCCAGCAACGAGCGCAACCCCUGUGAACUGUUGCCAGCGGAUAAUGCCGGGGACUCUGUUCAGACUGCCCAGAUCAACUGGGAGGAAGGUGGGGACGACGUCAGGUCAGUAUGGCCCUUACGCCUAGGGCUGCACACGUACUACAAUGCCCAGCACAAUGAGAACCAAUACCGUGAGGUGGAGGCAAUCUGUAAAACUGGGCCCAGUUCGGAUUGGAGGCUGCAACUCGCCUCCAUGAAGUUGGAAUCGCUAGUAAUGCC
rnacentral:rRNA from 1 species